UCCCAGGUGAAAACGACAUGAUGAUGUAAGGAAAGAACCACAUGGCAGUGCUGGCACCAGUGGCAGUCCCCAGAAAGGCUGCACCACAGCAAUAAUGGAGACUGUGAUGCAUGAUGGGAGGCGGCAGAUACCCAAGAAACUCAGCAAUGAGGUCCACUCAGGACUAUCCCAUACAGUCUGCUUUGUCUUGGGCUCCAGUCACAUCAGCCCAUAAGAAUACUGAUUUCAAGUUCAAGCAAUCUCUAGCAGCUGUGGAAUCACCUGGACAUAAAGUAUCACUCAUUUGUUAAGAUAGUUUCUAAAAAGAAGAACAAAUACCAUACCCACAUCUGAAAGUCUAUUAGGAAAUAUAAACUGGUUGAAAUAGUUAAUGAACACUUUUGGAACAUGUAUAUUUGGG
rnacentral:lncRNA from 1 species